AGUUCUGUAGUGUAGUGGUUAUCACGUUCGCUUUACACGCGAAAGGUCCUCGGUUCGAGCCCGGGCAGAACUA
rnacentral:tRNA from 1 species